AAUCAAUGCUAUUAAAAGGAGAAAAAAUAUCUACAAAGAACUCUAGACUAUGCCAAUGAUUUUAUAUAUAUAAAAGAAUCAACACGAGAACAAUAAAAUAUGUCAUAUUACACGUAAUGGCCAUUUUUAUUUAAUGAGAUCUUAUUCAAAUAAAGUCAGAAUUAUGUUCGCUCAUCAAAUUAAGUGAAAUGCAUUCACAAAGCAUUCUGUCAAAACAAUAUGUAAAAGGCGGCUAAGAGUUGUAAAGAUCAAAUCAUUAAGUAAAAAUACCCAAAAGAACCCAAUUUUUCUUAUUGUAUAAUUAGCUCAAAUUUUAUACUAUAGAGAGGUCAGUUCUGAGGCCAUAUAAGCAUACCAACAUAAACUCCUCCAAUUCUGCUAACUUUUAUUCGAACUCCAAUCCCAAUUGCAAAAUGUCCUUCUAUAACAUAUGUAAACUGUUUUUUUACUUCAAUGAAGCAAUAAGUCAUCAAUAUCACCAACUUUUCAUUCAUCUAACUAAACAAAUUCUUCUACAUAGGUUACACUCAUUUUACUUACAUUCUAGUCACAGAAGUUUCAGUUCAAAAAACCUUACUACGAUUAGCUACAUGAAGAACUAAUAGCAUAAGCAACAGAAUUGUACUAUAAAGGUAGAUUUGAUAAAGAAUCUACAAAAUAACAU
rnacentral:lncRNA from 1 species